GUGAUUGGUCAGUGUGCUCUGUUACCUGUGGCGCCGGCAUCAGGACCCGAGAUGUCGCUUGUCGAAUUGUAGGAACCACCACUGUUGUUUCAAAUGAUAACUGUGGUGCCACAGAACAGCCGACCUCUGUGGAAGUCUGCACUCUGCAAGCUUGCUCAGUUUACAAAUAUAUUGUAGGCGAAUGGGGAACAUGCUCUGUAACCUGUGCAAGUGGAGUCAGAAGUCGUUCUGUCACUUGUGUCGAAGUAGCAACAAAUGUUGCAGUAGACAAUAGUUUCUGUGUUGCGCUUACUGCUCCAGAUACUAACGAGGUCUGCACACUCUCUGCUUGUCCCACGUAUGGUUUCAUAGCCGGUGAUUGGU